rnacentral:rRNA from 1 species
GCACGGGUGAGUAACGCGUGGAUAAUCUACCGGGAAGUAUGGAAUAACGGCUGGAAACGGUCGCUAAUACCGUAUACGCAGCAUUUUUACCUAUGCUGGAAAGGGGGCCUCUGCAUAUGCUUCCGCUUUUCGAUGAGUCCGCGUCCCAUUAGCUAGUUGGCGGGGUAAAGGCCCACCAAGGCGACGAUGGGUAGCUGGUCUGAGAGGAUGAUCAGCCACACUGGGACUGGAACACGGCCCAG